AGUCUCUAGUUCAUUUGUGUAGGUACGCACGGUUGCUGUGGUUACGGAAGAGACGCUUGAACUACCAACACCGUCUAGUGGGGUGCGUAGUCCUGAAAUGCUUCGUUUGUGCGACAAUUAGCCAAAAAAGAUGGUUCAUUUACUACAAUACCCAGAAUCCUGUGUGGUCCAAGGCGGUGGCGGUUAUAGGUACACCUCUUGCGUUUUGCUAGAGCUCUUUGUAGUGACUUUUGAAACACUUUUUGUCGAUAUACAUUAAAAAUAGUUAGCCUUUACGAUUCGCACUAUACUAAUGGUAAUAGAUACUGUAAUAAUGGUGGGGACUACUUUAUAGUAGCUGAGGUAAAAGUCUGUUACCACACAGUUGAUGACAUUCCCAGGUCAUAAUCCUCACCUGUUUAGGUGGAGGAGCCACGGCAAGAAUAAAACAUCUGCAGACAAGACGCACUUGAAGAAUGGUGAUAUUGAUCAAUGGAGGAAGCGAGUGGAGAUGGCUUCGGAGUUUGCUGUGUCUGAAGUCUUCUCCCACAAGAAAUCUCACUCAGGAACCAGCAGCUUAGCUGUCCCAUUGCAGAGCUCUGACCAGUUAGGAGAUCAUGACGAUGCUUACAGCGAAGCUCAGGCUCUUCUUGGUGAUUGGCUGAGCAGUAAGUUGCGGCUGGAGCUAGAGAUGGAUGAGGAAGAUGACCUUAUGUGCUCCACUGAGGGGAGAGGCCCCGCUGCACUGGCUAGUCCCCAGCCUACCACUCUGAACUACGACAACUUCGAUGAUCUCUACAAUUGCCUGGCUGAGGAAGAAGAACACAUUGCUGUUAACACCUUCCUUCAAGACCUAAUGGAGCAAGAGGUGCUGGACUCUGGGAUGAUGGAAGAACUGGCACUGGAUGUUGGACAAACGAGGAAGAAGUUCAGAGACCCAGUCGUCACCAUGGAAGCACGACACAAGCAGGUGCGAGAGAACCGGGCCCGGCGUGAGGCUGAGAGGCAGAGGCAGCAGAGAGAGAGUAAGGCUCAGCAGGAUGCCAAGGAGGAGGCAAAGAGGAGGGAGCGGGAGGAGGAGACGAGGAAGAAGCAGGAGGCACGGAGACAGGAGGAGAUGGUGCAGCAGGAGAUGGUGCGACUGCGACGCCAGAUGGAGGAGAGGAGAGGCCUGGAACAGCUGGUUAGACAGAGGGAAAGGGAGAGAGUGGAAGGGCAGAGAGCAGCCAAGAGCCUCUGGUCAGCUCCAACAGUUUCCACAAAACAGAAGCAGCAGGACACAGAGCGAAAGCUGUAUAAAGAACAGAAAAUUCAAACUAUGGUCCACAUGAGCAACCUCAAGUGCUUGCAGAGGAAUUUCUCUGGAUGGUUUUCAGUCGUGUUGGACCGAAGGUUACGUAUGGGUAAGGCCAUGGCCCUCUGUGACUGGAAAAGGAAGCUGAGAGUGUGGCGAGCGUGGCAGAUAGUGGUGUGGGCUGGACAAAAGCAGCGAGAGGUGGUGAGAACCGAGGAGGAGCUACGAACUAAAAACAGACAAUGCCAGUUGGCUGUGGAGAGUGACCGAAGGCGGUUGCUGCGGCGAUGCCUAAAUGAGUGGCAUCUAUGGUGUCGGAUGGAGAGGGAACAACGAGAGCUUUUGGCCCAACAACAGGAAACCCGCCGCAAGAUGGCUGCUUUAAUCAACGCCGCAUCAACAGGCAAACUCAAAACCACAGCUACCCCGGCUUAUCAACCAAUAAUAGCGCCACCUGAGGCAUCUAACCAAACAGAGACCACCGAGAGGGAAGGUCACUACAGGUCAGACACUUUGACCCCUGACGCCUCUGCAGUAUACCCAGACAAGAUGCCUCUGGCCCACCCCACUCAGGCAUGGCAGGUGACCCGAAGGCACGUAGCACCGACUGCUGCCGAGCUCCACGGCACACGGCAGAGAGGUGAGGGCAGCGGCCCUGUUUGCUCAAAAAGCACUGUGUCACCUGGCAGCAGGUAUGAGAACAGACACGCUGCCCAGCAGCAGAUCAUCAUGCAGCAAAGGAAGCUGCUGAAGGAGCAGCAAGAGCAAAUCGUGCAGCUGAAGGAGGAGCAGAGCAUGAUGGGUUUGGAGCUGGAGAUGGAGAAAACUGCACAAGUCUCACAGCUGUUAACACAAGGAGGCCUGAGACCAAAAAGCCACAACUUAGACCCCACAGAGCAGAGGGCACUGAGAGUUACCGGAGAACCUGACAGUCAGCGAACACCUCCGAGGAAAGCUGUCACACGCCAGACAUGCCCCCAUCCGAUCAUCACGGCCAUGGAGGCCCGUGCACGUCAACGCACAGAGCGAAGAAAGGAAAUUGAAGAACUCAAGAGAAAGAAGGAAGAGGAAAAGCUGGCUGAGAUGAAAGCCGCUGAGGCGCAGAGACGGUUGGCAGAGGAGGAGGAAAAACACAAAGCAGCAGAAAAGAGGAGGGAGGAGAAAAGGCUGGAGAGAGAGAGGGAAGAGGAAAAACAGAGGCGACUGAAAAGGCAACAGGAGCUCAUGAAACAGGCCCGUCAGCACUACCACCAGACGUUGAUACUACGGAGAGGCCUGGCGCCAUGGAAACGCCUCAUUCAACUCCGACAAGCCAACAUACAGCUGGCCGAGGGUCAUCACAAUCUCGUUCUCCUGAGGCGGUGCACACUAGGCUGGCAGCAAUCAGCAAGACAGUCCCUGUCUGAGAAAGAAGCUUCUGCUGACCAACUGCACCAGCACUUCUUGCUUCGGAGGAGCUUAAGCUGCUGGAAAAGACUCAAGGACUGGAGGAUGAUUCAGGAGGAGCGAGCCAAGCGUUUCUAUCGCACACGUACUCUGAGGAGGUUUCUGCUGGCGCUGCUGGACCAUGUGACCCAGGAGAGGCUGGUGGAGUGGGACUGUCAGCACCUGGCUCAGGAGCACAAUAACAGGUCUGCUACCCGUGACUCCACCAUAUGUUCACAGUAUGGAUGCUGCAGUAUGUUCCCCCAGUAACAUUACCAACUAACAGUGUGUCAUAUUAAAUUUAACAUCUUGUAAAAACGUUAAUUACAAGUUCAAUUGUAAUAUCAGACAUAUCUGGUUACAGUACACGAAGAAACUACAAUACCUUGAAGGCCUUUGAGACAAACAAUUUAAAAGACCUUCUGAGGCCAUUCAAGACCUUUAAUUAAUAUGAAUAACCUUGAUUUUCCUGCUUUUUAAGUACUGCAGACUUCACAGGUUAGACACUGGAAUUGCAUUGCAUAAGCAGUUGUUGGAUAAUUAAUUUACAAACAUGAAAUAUGAGAGCUUUGGUGGUGCAUUGGCACAUUUUCUGUCCUUUUUACUCCACCUGCCCGUGAACUAAAUUGAAAAUUACACCAUCACCUCCUUGACUUCAGUGAAAUGCCCCAUAUCUGCUGUUAGCUGUAAAUGUCUCUUUGAUUAAUGGAGUGAGUUUUGCUGCUCAGGUAGAAAAAGUUCAAUAUGGCUAAAUUACUUGGCAUAGCAGAGUGCUUCUGGACUAAAUGGUCUCUGACCCCAGGUAACAGCAAAUGUUCAGUACUUGCAGCAAUAACUCUCUUCCUGCCUAUCUCAUACUCUAUUAAUUUUGUGACUACAAGUAAUACACGGUUUGUGAGGCCUGUACUUAGGCACAGUAAUGCUUUCUUCUAAAUGCCAACUUCAGCAUGUUAACAUCCUCACUAUGACUAUACAAAAUAUGCUAAUGUUUAGCAGGUAUAAGGGUUACCAUGCUCACCAUCUUAGAUUAGUGUGAUAGCAUGCUAACAAGCUAAUUAUCACUAAAUACAAAGAAUAACUCUGAUGACGCUGAUGGAAGUGUCAUUAGUUCUGUAGCUAUUGGUUGUAACGCAGAGUGUUGGAAAAACUGACAUUUUGGCCUGAUGAUGGCACCAGAUGAAAAAUCAAGGGAUAAGCAAAGUCAUUAAAAUGUGGGACCUGGGACCUUGAAUAUCGAUCUACUAGUUGUAAAAAAAAAAAAAUCACCAAAUUCAGCAAAAUUCAACAUCACACAAUAUUAAUACCCAGAGGAUCACCAACGUCAGACGACGACGAAUGUCAGUGCAAUGUUUCACGGCGAUCCAUCCAAUGGCUGUUGAGAUAUUUCACCAAAAAAUCUGUUUUUGGUGACUCUGUAAUUUGCAUUGAAAUUGUUUUACAGUGUUUAUUUUCUGCAAAAUAUAUAUUUUAAAUUAAAAAUUACAUUUGUUUUUCAUUAUGCUCAACAUUACUAUUAUGUGGUCUUCUGUUUCCCAUUGUGACCAAAAUUAAUGACUGCUUUAGCUUCUCAGGUGAGGUCGGCUUAAAGACCACAGCCUGCAGGUUCACCGGCUGCCCACCUGCCAUUACGGGUGUUGCAGCGAUGUUUCCUGGCCUGGAGGCAGCUUCCAUGUAUGCUGCGUAAGGAGAGAGAGAAGGAGGGGCGGCGGGAGAGACUU